CCUACGGGUGGCUGCAGUGAGGAAUAUUGGUCAAUGGACGCAAGUCUGAACCAGCCAUGCCGCGUGCAGGAAGAAGGUGCUAUGCAUUGUAAACUGCUUUUAUACGGGGGUAAUUACAGAUACGUGUAUCUUGAUGAAAGUACCGUAUGAAUAAGGAUCGGCUAACUCCGUGCCAGCAGCCGAGGUAAUACGGAGGAUCCGAGCGUUAUCCGGAUUUAUUGGGUUUAAAGGGUGCGUAGGCGGUCAGGUAAGUUAGAUGUGAAAGCUAGAUGCGCAACAUGGAAAGUGCCUCUGAUACGGUCUGGCUAGAGUGUAGUUGCGGAAGGCAGAAUGUGUGGUGUAGCGGUGAAAUGCUUAGAGAUCACACAGAACACCGAUUGCGAAGGCAGCUUUCCAAGCUAUGACUGACGCUGAGGCACGAAAGCGUGGGGAGCGAACAGGAUUAGAUACCCGGGUAGUC
rnacentral:rRNA from 1 species